CUGUUUCCGCCAUUUCAAGGGAUGGCGCUCCCAUCUCUUUAAGCUGCCGCUCUUCCAACUUGGCAGGGCUGAUUAGGAAGACCCAGUUCCUGACCACCGAUGCUUUGCUACGCUAGGCUGGAAAAUGCCUCCCUCUGCCCUUGAGAAGGGGGUCUGAAUGUUUUGCGGGACUGACACCGCAGCAACAUGCCGGUGUGUUUCACGCUGCUGCCUCCUGUUUCCCUUGAAGCUUUCACCAGACCCUGGAUUUCUUUUUCACUUCCUGUUCUGAGCCAUCGCCGGGCACUCAUUACCCACCAGCUGUGUCCCAGCUGCCGCAUUCUACACUAGAGGUGGCGCCCUGCACCCGGCGGAAAUGAAGAGAAUCAGACUACCCACCUUGGAUUCUGAUAUGAAAGAUUUAGGAUAAAAGAGCUACUCCAUCAGCCUGGAAAGAUGACUCACUGGCAAACUCUUAGAUAAAGAUGGCAGAAGCAAUUCUUCAGUGAAGGCUUCAAGCAACACCUCCAAACUUCUGACACAUCUGGGAAGCGGUACUGUAGAGCUGACCUACCUUGAAUGAGACCUUUAAAUGUUGAUUCUCUAACUGCAGGUCAACGCUUCUUGACUCCCUGGUUUUCCUUCUUGACUCACUGCUCAGGAGACUGCCCUUUUAGUGAUAAUUCUGCUCCACUUCUGCUUUCAACCUGCAUAUUCUUCAUGAGGAAUCUACUGGAUCCUUGAUCCUAUACCCACCACUUCUCCACUGGGUUUCCCUUUUCUUAGAUUCAUCCGUUUCCAUUAGCAGCCACAUUCCUCCAGACACUGCCAUCGCUGUGACACUAAUUUGGCUUGCCUUCUGGCAACU
rnacentral:lncRNA from 1 species